AUGAUCAUCCUAGCCUGGAACUGCUGAGGGUUGGGGUUGGACUCGGCUGUGGGUGAUUUAAGGGACCUGGUGAGGUCAUACAACCCAGAGGUGGUAUUUUUGUCGGAAACAAAAAAACGGGCUAGUGCAAUGGAGAGACUAAAGUGGAGCUUGGGUUAUCAACACGGUGUGGCUGUGGACUGUAAAGGAAAAAGUGUAGGCUUGGCUAUGUGGUGGAGGGAUCAUGUGGAUGUUACGGUGAGGCCGUGGUGCCAAUAUUACAUUGAUGCGACGAUAGCAAUCGAUGGUGUCUCCUUCAGGUUCACUGGAAUCUAUGGGGAACCAUGCGUUGAGAAAAGAACAAAAACUUGGGAAGUGCUCCCUUACCUACGUACCCAAGAUGAUCUCCCAUGGCUUUGCGUCGGUGAUUUUAAUGAGACACUGAGACAGAAUGAACAACAAGGUGGCAACCAGAGGAACAUGCAUCAGAUGGUGCUUUUGGAGGACUGUAUGACCGACAGCGGUCUUGCAGACCUGGGGUUUACGGGAUACCCUUUUACUUGGGAUAAUAAGCGUGAUGGGGAGGAGAACAUUCAGGCGAGGCUCGAUCGGGUGAUGAGUAAUGCGGCUUUUGCACAAUUAUAUCCAGAAGUCGAGGUUCAGCACGUGAUGACGUAA
rnacentral:rRNA from 1 species